rnacentral:rRNA from 2 species
GUAGUCAUAUGCUUGUCUCAAAGAUUAAGCCAUGCAUGUCUAAGUAUAAGCAAUUAUACAGCGAAACUGCGAAUGGCUCAUUAUAUAAGUUAUCGUUUAUUUGAUAGUACCUUACUACUUGGAUAACCGUGGUAAUUCUAGAGCUAAUACAUGCUAAAAAUCCCGACUUCGGAAGGGAUGUAUUUAUUAGAUACAAAACCAAUGCCCCUCGGGGCUCUCUGGUGAUUCAUGAUAACUCGUCGAAUCGCACGGCCUUGCGCCGGCGAUGGUUCAUUCAAAUUUCUUCCCUAUCAACUUUCGAUGUUUGGGUAGUGGCCAAACAUGGUGGCAACGGGUAACGGGGAAU